AUCAUGCCCCGUGAACUCUGGGAUAAGCGCUGGAAACGGCGUUCUAAUACCGGAUACGAGCUGCGAAGGCAUCUUCGGCAGCUGGAAAGAAUUUCGGUCAGGGAUGAGCUCGCGGCCUAUCAGCUAGUUGGUGAGGUAAUGGCUCACCAAGGCGUCGACGGGUAGCCGGCCUGAGAGGGUGACCGGCCACACUGGGACUGAGACACGGCCCAGACUCCUACGGGAGGCAGCAGUGGGGAAUAUUGCACAAUGGGCGCAAGCCUGAUGCAGCAACGCCGCGUGAGGGACGACGGCCUUCGGGUUGUAAACCUCUUUUAGCAGGGAAGAAGCGAAAGUGACGGUACCUGCAGAAAAAGCACCGGCUAACUACGUGCCAGCAGCCGCGGUAAUACGUAGGGUGCAAGCGUUAUCCGGAAUUAUUGGGCGUAAAGAGCUCGUAGGCGGUUUGUCGCGUCUGCUGUGAAAACCCGAGGCUCAACCUCGGGCCUGCAGUGGGUACGGGCAGACUAGAGUGCGGUAGGGGAGAUUGGAAUUCCUGGUGUAGCGGUGGAAUGCGCAGAUAUCAGGAGGAACACCGAUGGCGAAGGCAGAUCUCUGGGCCGUAACUGACGCUGAGGAGCGAAAGGGUGGGGAGCAAACAGGCUUA
rnacentral:rRNA from 1 species